rnacentral:misc_RNA from 1 species
AAAUGCGAUAAGUAAUGUGAAUUGCAGAAUUCAGUGAAUCAUCGAAUCUUUGAACGCACCUUGCGCUCCUUGGUAUUCCUUGGAGCAUGCCUGUUUGAGUAUCAUGAAAUCUUCAAAGUAAAUCUUUUGUUAACUCAAUUGGUUUCUACUUUGGUAUUGGAGGUCUUUGCAGCUUCACACCUGCUCCUCUUUGUUCAUUAGCUGGAUCUCAGUGUUAUGCUUGGUUCCACUCGGCGUGAUAAGUUAUCUAUCGCUGAGGACACUGUAAAAGGUGGCCAAGGUAAAUGCAGAUGAACCGCUUCUAAUAGUCCAUUGACUUGGACAAUACCUUUAUGAUCUGAUCUCAAAUCAGGUAGGACUACCCGCUGAACUUAAGC